rnacentral:rRNA from 1 species
CAAUAGCGUAUAUUAAAGUUGUUGCAGUUAAAAAGCUCGUAGUUGGAUUUCGGACUGUUGUCACGGGUCGGCUCCUUGUGAGUGUGUGCCUGUGGCGGUGGUCUUUCUCUACGGAGGGUGGUGUCAGCGAUUAGGUUCGGUGGUGCCGGAUGCGCUCCGUUCGUUUACUUUGAACAAAUUAGAGUGUUUAAAGCAGGCCUUUGCCUUGAAUACAUUAGCAUGGAAUAAUGGAAUAGGACUUGCGGUUCUAUUUCGUUGGUUUCUAGGACGCGAGUAAUGAUUAAUAGGGAUAGUUGGGGGCAUUCAUAUUUAAUUGUCAGAGGUGAAAUUCUUAGAUUUAUGAAAGAUGAACUACUGCGAAAGCAUUUGCCAAGGAUGUUUUCAUUAA